UGGGGAAUUUUGGACAAUGGGCGCAAGCCUGAUCCAGCCAUGCCGCGUGAGUGAAGAAGGCCUUCGGGUUGUAAAGCUCUUUCGGCUGGGACGAAAAGGUUCGUGCUAACACCACGGAUCAAUGACGGUACCAGCAGAAGAAGCACCGGCUAACUACGUGCCAGCAGCCGCGGUAAUACGUAGGGUGCAGGCGUUAAUCGGAAUUACUGGGCGUAAAGCGUGCGCAGGCGGUUGUGCAAGACCGAUGUGAAAUCCCCGGGCUUAACCUGGGAAUGGCAUUGGUGACUGCACGGCUAGAGUGUGUCAGAGGGGGGUAGAAUUCCACGUGUAGCAGUGAAAUGCGUAGAGAUGUGGAGGAAUACCGAUGGCGAAGGCAGCCCCCUGGGAUAACACUGACGCCCAUGCACGAAAGCGUGGGGAGCAAAC
rnacentral:rRNA from 1 species